rnacentral:snRNA from 1 species
AUCGCUUCUCAGCCUUUUGGCUAAGAUCAAGGUAGUA